UACGUAGGGUGCAAGCGUUAAUCGGAAUUACUGGGCGUAAAGCGUGCGCAGGCGGUUUUGUAAGUCUGUCGUGAAAGCCCCGGGCUCAACCUGGGAAUUGCGAUGGAGACUGCAAGGCUUGAAUCUGGCAGAGGGGGGUAGAAUUCCACGUGUAGCAGUGAAAUGCGUAGAGAUGUGGAGGAACACCGAUGGCGAAGGCAGCCUCCUGGGCCGACACUGACGCUCAUGCACGAAAGCGUGGGGAGCAAACAGG
rnacentral:rRNA from 1 species